rnacentral:rRNA from 1 species
GUGGGGAAUUUUGGACAAUGGGCGCAAGCCUGAUCCAGCAAUGCCGCGUGCAGGAAGAAGGCCUUCGGGUUGUAAACUGCUUUUGUACGGAACGAAACGGUCCUGGUUAAUACCUGGGGCUAAUGACGGUACCGUAAGAAUAAGCACCGGCUAACUACGUGCCAGCAGCCGCGGUAAUACGUAGGGUGCGAGCGUUAAUCGGAAUUACUGGGCGUAAAGCGUGCGCAGGCGGUGCUGUAAGACAGGCGUGAAAUCCCCGGGCUCAACCUGGGAAUUGCGCUUGUGACUGAAGUGCUGGAGUACGGCAGAGGGGGAUGGAAUUCCGCGUGUAGCAGUGAAAUGCGUAGAUAUGCGGAGGAACACCGAUGGCGAAGGCAGUCCCCUGGGCCUGUACUGACGCUCAUGCACGAAAGCGUGGGGAGCAAACAGGAUUAGAUACCCCGGUAGUCC